GGGGACCCGCAAGCGGUGGAGCACGUGGUUUAAUUCGAAGCAACGCGAAGAACCUUACCAAAUCUUGACAUCCUCUGACCGCCAUGGAGACAUGGCUUCCCUUCGGGGCAGAGUGACAGGUGGUGCAUGGUUGUCGUCAGCUCGUGUCGUGAGAUGUUGGGUUAAGUCCCGCAACGAGCGCAACCCUUAAGCUUAGUUGCCAGCAUUCAGUUGGGCACUCUAAGUUGACUGCCGGUGACAAACCGGAGGAAGGUGGGGAUGACGUCAAAUCAUCAUGCCCCUUAUGAUUUGGGCUACACACGUGCUACAAUGGACAGGUGACAAAGGGCAGCGAAGUCGUGAGGCCAAGCGAAUCCCAUAAAACUGUUCUCAGUUCGGAUUGGAGUCUGCAACUCGACUCCAUGAAGCUGGAAUCGCUAGUAAUCGUGGAUCAGCAUGCCACGGUGAAUACGUUCCCGGGGUCUUGUACACACC
rnacentral:rRNA from 1 species